UACGGGGGGGGCAAGCGUUGUUCGGAAUUACUGGGCGUAAAGGGCUCGUAGGUGGCCAACUAAGUCAGACGUGAAAUCCCUCGGCUUAACCGGGGAACUGCGUCUGAUACUGGAUGGCUUGAGUUUGGGAGAGGGACGCGGAAUUCCAGGUGUAGCGGUGAAAUGCGUAGAUAUCUGGAGGAACACCGGUGGCGAAGGCGGCGUCCUGGACCAACACUGACACUGGUGAGCGAAAGCCAGGGGAGCAAACGGG
rnacentral:rRNA from 1 species